CUGGUUUUCAGUCCAGAUGGCUGGCCAGGGCACCCGAGAGGACCCCCUCUUAUUGAUUUAGGGGGGAGAACAGAGAACCUGGCUUUGCUUUGGGCGCGGGCGAGCACCGACUGCACCGCGCAUGGCCGCUCCUCGGCUCCCCCCCUUCCUCCCGUUUCAUCCCCCUCUCAGGUUAUCGCCGCCGACCCGAGGGGAAGCGAUCAGGGGAAGUGCGAGGCGGCGGGAAGCCGGGGCGAGAUAUGAAUAUAAGUCGACUGAUUUAGCAGGUCGGAUGUAAAACGGGUCACACUUUUGCAGGUCUAAUCCCCUGUUCUCCGCCGGUGAAAUUGUGCGCUGAUAUGAGACGGUAUCGGCUGCCUGGAACCAAAUAGAGCCGGAGCGGUGCAGGUCUUUGUUAAUACAAAGCGCUGCUCAGCUAGUGAGCAGCCCAGAGAUGUGCAAGAUAAGAUUUGUAGAAACACAUGAAAGGGGACAUGGCUAUAAAUAUGUAUGCACCCCUUGGAGUGGAGCCCUUUCUGUUUGCCCAUUAGUACAGUUUUUGUGAUACUGUCUACCUAUUGCCAUGGCGGUGACACAUAUAGCAGUCAAUUAUGUUCCCCACAUUACAAUAGGAGGUAUAACUGACUGAACACACAGCCGGCGCUGCAUAAUGUGAAUAGUUGAAGGAAAUCAUACGGACAUCAUUCCUGCGAGAAGGGACACUGUUAGGGAAAGAAAUGAAAGGGAAACGUUGCAGAUCUGAGGAGUUUGACUCCAGCGCCGACACGGCGACUGAUGGCACACGGUAAACGGAGACCUCUGGGGAGGGGAGUGAUUAUUCAACCACUGGAGGGGUUACAUUUGAGGCGUUUUUCAAAGCGCUUGAAUGUUAAUAUUUAAAAUGUCCACAUUUUUAGAUUUAAAAGAAAGGAAAGAUCAGCUAUAAUUCCUUUACUUUGCAGGUGAAUAUUUUCCUCCCCAGCAGAGGCCCGUUGAUCACUGAACACGGAGCUCACUGCAGAGUAUUAGGACCUCAUAGCAGAUGAUAUUUGUCAAUAUUGUCGAUUAGCCCUGAAACGGAUCCCCUUCGGGGGGAGGUGAGGUAUCUGUAACCAGACGCCCCCGCGCACCAAGACGAGGUGCACCUCUGCGCGUGCUCUGGAAGACGACCACGUGCACCUUGUGCAGCAGUUCUCCUGCGUUGUGCACUAAUGAGCCUAACGAGCUGCUGUUUACCUCCUUCAGCUCUGCUGCCGACACCUGAGGCAUGCUGGGAGUUUUGUGUUGAGUCCUUGUCCAUGUGGUCCACAUGUGGGAUGAAGCAUGUGACUGUUCACCGAUUAGAAUCAAUUCUAAAUAUACCUUUAAACACAUGCUCCUCGGUGUGUGUGUGUGUGUGUGUGUGUGUGUGUGUGUGUGUGGUGAUAAUUGAAGCCCACUCGCUCCUGUGGGAGUCGGCUGACGUGAGCUUUAAUGCUUCAAGGUGUGUAUUGUUUGUAUCACACACAAACAUACACAAACAUGAAGCCAGUCUGUGGACCUGUGGAGGGAAACCAGAACCUUCUGAGAAAGAUCCUCCUGCAUCUCCUUCAGAGAAGAGAGGAACGUUCUUCACUUCCAUUCUCUUACUGAAGACAAGGUUUUCCGAGCAAGCGGAGAGGAGGAACCCCGGAGAAGAAGAGAGGGGCCGGCAGGCAUGUAGCAAGCCGAGCGAGAGGACGGCUUCCACCGGGCCGCCUGGCAGCUCAUUAGAGGCCGCGUCACAGCGGCGAGAAAGGAGAAGCGUCCUCUCUGCUUCGACGAAACCGACACCCUUUGCUGCGGCGUCUCUGGAGCCCCUCUGCGCGGCGUCAGGUCAGUCGCUCGCAUGAACCACGUCCGGGCCGCACGCGGCACCUAUCGGCUCGACCAAACAAAGGCCCGUCGCAAUUAAGGAGGCC